AUACGUAGGGGGCGAGCGUUGUCCGGAAUGAUUGGGCGUAAAGGGCGCGUAGGCGGCCCGGUAAGUCUGGAGUGAAAGUCCUGUUUUUAAGAUGGGACUUGCUUUGGAUACUGUCGGGCUUGAGUGCAGGAGAGGUAAGUGGAAUUCCCAGUGUAGCGGUGAAAUGCGUAGAGAUUGGGAGGAACACCAGUGGCGAAGGCGACUUACUGGACUGUAACUGACGCUGAGGCGCGAAAGUGUGGGGAGCAAACAGGAUUAGAUACCCUGGUAGUCCACACUGUAAACGAUGAAUGCUAGGUGUAGGGGGUAUCGACCCCUUCUGUGCCGCAGUCAACACAAUAAGCAUUCCGCCUGGGGAGUACGGCCGCAAGGUUGAAACUCAAAUGAAUUGACGGGG
rnacentral:rRNA from 1 species